AGAGUUUGAUCCUGGCUCAGAUUGAACGCUGGCGGCAGGCCUAACACAUGCAAGUCGAGCGGUAACACAGGGAGCUUGCUCCUGGGUGACGAGCGGCGGACGGGUGAGUAAUGUCUGGGAAACUGCCUGAUGGAGGGGGAUAACUACUGGAAACGGUAGCUAAUACCGCAUAACGUCGCAAGACCAAAGAGGGGGACCUUCGGGCCUCUUGCCAUCAGAUGUGCCCAGAUGGGAUUAGCUAGUAGGUGGGGUAACGGCUCACCUAGGCGACGAUCCCUAGCUGGUCUGAGAGGAUGACCAGCCACACUGGAACUGAGACACGGUCCAGACUCCUACGGGAGGCAGCAGUGGGGAAUAUUGCACAAUGGGCGCAAGCCUGAUGCAGCCAUGCCGCGUGUAUGAAGAAGGCCUUCGGGUUGUAAAGUACUUUCAGCGGGGAGGAAGGUGUUGAGGUUAAUAACCUCAGCAAUUGACGUUACCCGCAGAAGAAGCACCGGCUAACUCCGUGCCAGCAGCCGCGGUAAU
rnacentral:rRNA from 1 species